rnacentral:rRNA from 1 species
UACAGAGGGUGCAAGCGCUACUCGGAUUUACUGGGCGUAAAGGGCGUGUAGGUGGGUGAGCAAGUCAGGGGUGAAAUCCCUGGGCUUAACCUAGGAAUUGCACUUUAGACUGCAUGGCUAGAGUGCGGUAGAGGGUAGUGGAAUUUCCGGUGUAGCGGUGAAAUGCGUAGAGAUCGGAAGGAACACCAGUGGCGAAGGCGACUACCUGGACCGCAACUGACACUGAGGCGCGAAAGCGUGGGUAGCAAACAGG